CACUCCACCAUUAAUUUUAUAACUUUCAACAUAUACAUUACUUGUUAUCUACAAUUACAAAUAGACAAUAAUUGGUGGCAUAUCCCAUGGUCCACGAUGAAAAAAAAGAUUUUAUUGAGAUAUCUUCUUCGUUACCAUCCUCAAACAUUCAAACUGUGACAACUUUGACAGUUAAACUAUACCUUAUCAACGAUUAUUAUUAAUAGGGUUAGGGUGCGGAACUCCUGAAAUAGACACUCUUAGAGCGUUGACCCUCUCAUUCUCGACCUUGGUGCAAAAAUCUCUCCCAUAGUCUAGAUAGAAUAAGAGUGCAUUUAAACUCAUAGUGAUAACGGCUGUUUGACACCGUUUCUUUUAUUUAUUUAUUUUGAAGUGGGUCCCACGUCAUCCCCUUCAUCGGCUUUACCAGAAUCUCGAAGCUCAGCUUCUGCCCCUCCGCGUCGAAUCUCUGAGAUUCCACCUCGGACCAAACUCCGAUGAUUUCCAUCUUCUUUGGAUCCUCCAAGAUCAUCGGUGUUCCCUUGUCGGCGUACGCGUGCGCGAUGUAUCUUGUUAUGGCCCUUGAUUCUACGGUACUCCAACCAAUUAGAUUAUACAAAAUGAAAAUCAAUUUUUAUUUUGAGAAAAUGAUGAAUUGAAGAAUCUUUACCGAAGAGCUUGAGAUCGCCGUCUGCAACAAAAGACACAUACUCGUCAGACUAGAGAGAGAGAGAGUUGACGAGCUUAAUUACGUGGAGUGAGAGGAAGGGCUCCUUCUUACGCUGGCAGGUUGAUAAAUUCACCUGCAUCAGUUCUUGAUUACUGCUAAUUGCAGUGAGAUAAUUGAGCAUAAAUAAUUGGCAAUGCUAAAACAAAUGUAUGUUGCAUUUACAGUAGAAUUAUACACAUAUCUAUUUACCUGA